UGACUGCGUACCUUUUGUAUAAUGGGUCAGCGACUUAUAUUCUGUAGCAAGGUUAACCGAAUAGGGGAGCCGGAGGGAAACCGAGUCUUAAUUGGGCGUUAAGUUGCAGGGUAUAGACCCGAAACCCGGUGAUCUAGCCAUGGGCAGGUUGAAGGUUGGGUAACACUAACUGGAGGACCGAACCGACUAAUGUUGAAAAAUUAGCGGAUGACCUGUGGCUGGGGGUGAAAGGCCAAUCAAACCGGGAGAUAGCUGGUUCUCCCCGAAAGCUAUUUAGGUAGCGCCUCGUGAAUUCAUCUCCGGGGGUAGAGCACUGUUUCGGCUAGGGGGCCAUCCCGGCUUACCAACCCGAUGCAAACUGCGAAUACCGGAGAAUGUUAUCACGGGAGACACACGGCGGGUGCUAACGUCCGUCGUGAAGAGGGAAACAACCCAGACCGCCAGCUAAGGUCCCAAAGUCAUGGUUAAGUGGGAAACGAUGUGGGAAGGCCCAGACAGCCAGGAUGUUGGCUUAGAAGCAGCCAUCAUUUAAAGAAAGCGUAAUAGCUCACUGGUCGAGUCGGCCUGCGCGGAAGAUGUAACGGGGCUAAACCAUGCACCGAAGCUGCGGCAGCGACACUAUGUGUUGUUGGGUAGGGGAGCGUUCUGUAAGCCUGCGAAGGUGGCCUGUGAGGGUUGCUGGAGGUAUCAGAAGUGCGAAUGCUGACAUAAGUAACGAUAAAGCGGGUGAAAAGCCCGCUCGCCGGAAGACCAAGGGUUCCUGUCCAACGUUAAUCGGGGCAGGGUGAGUCGACCCCUAAGGCGAGGCCGAAAGGCGUAGUCGAUGGGAAACGGGUUAAUAUUCCCGUACUUGGUGUUACUGCGAAGGGGGGACGGAGAAGGCUAUGUUGGCCGGGCGACGGUUGUCCCGGUUUAAGCGUGUAGGUGUGUGUUCCAGGUAAAUCCGGUUCACUUUAACACUGAGGCGUGACGACGAGGCACUACGGUGCUGAAGCAACAAAUGCCCUGCUUCCAGGAAAAGCCUCUAAGCAUCAGGUAACAUCAAAUCGUACCCCAAACCGACACAGGUGGUCAGGUAGAGAAUACCAAGGCGCUUGAGAGAACUCGGGUGAAGGAACUAGGCAAAAUGGUGCCGUAACUUCGGGAGAAGGCACGCUGACACGUAGGUGAAGUGAUUUACUCAUGGAGCUGAAGUCAGUCGAAGAUACCAGCUGGCUGCAACUGUUUAUUAAAAACACAGCACUGUGCAAACACGAAAGUGGACGUAUACGGUGUGACGCCUGCCCGGUGCCGGAAGGUUAAUUGAUGGGGUCAGCGCAAGCGAAGCUCCUGAUCGAAGCCCCGGUAAACGGCGGCCGUAACUAUAACGGUCCUAAGGUAGCGAAAUUCCUUGUCGGGUAAGUUCCGACCUGCACGAAUGGCGUAAUGAUGGCCAGGCUGUCUCCACCCGAGACUCAGUGAAAUUGAACUCGCUGUGAAGAUGCAGUGUACCCGCGGCAAGACGGAAAGACCCCGUGAACCUUUACUAUAGCUUGACACUGAACAUUGAGCCUUGAUGUGUAGGAUAGGUGGGAGGCUUUGAAGUGUGGACGCCAGUCUGCAUGGAGCCGACCUUGAAAUACCACCCUUUAAUGUUUGAUGUUCUAACGUGGACCCGUGAUCCGGGUUGCGGACAGUGUCUGGUGGGUAGUUUGACUGGGGCGGUCUCCUCCUAAAGAGUAACGGAGGAGCACGAAGGUUGGCUAAUCCUGGUCGGACAUCAGGAGGUUAGUGCAAUGGCAUAAGCCAGCUUGACUGCGAGCGUGACGGCGCGAGCAGGUGCGAAAGCAGGUCAUAGUGAUCCGGUGGUUCUGAAUGGAAGGGCCAUCGCUCAACGGAUAAAAGGUACUCCGGGGAUAACAGGCUGAUACCGCCCAAGAGUUCAUAUCGACGGCGGUGUUUGGCACCUCGAUGUCGGCUCAUCACAUCCUGGGGCUGAAGUAGGUCCCAAGGGUAUGGCUGUUCGCCAUUUAAAGUGGUACGCGAGCUGGGUUUAGAACGUCGUGAGACAGUUCGGUCCCUAUCUGCCGUGGGCGCUGGAGAACUGAGGGGGGCUGCUCCUAGUACGAGAGGACCGGAGUGGACGCAUCACUGGUGUUCGGGUUGUCAUGCCAAUGGCACUGCCCGGUAGCUAAAUGCGGAAGAGAUAAGUGCUGAAAGCAUCUAAGCACGAAACUUGCCCCGAGAUGAGUUCU
rnacentral:rRNA from 1 species